rnacentral:rRNA from 1 species
UGCUACUGAGUUUGUUGCCGCCUGUUUAUCAAAACAUCGCCUCUUGAACACAUAUAAGAGGUCCAGCCUGCCCAGUGACUAAAUUCAACGGCCGCGGUAUCCUAACCGUGCGAAGGUAGCGUAAUCACUUGUUCUUUAAAUGAGGACUAGUAUGAAUGGCACCACGAGGGUUAUACUGUCUCCUUUUUCUAAUCAAUGAAACUGAUCUCCCCGUGAAGAAGCGGGGAUAAGACUAUCAGACGAGAAGACCCUAUGGAGCUUCAAACAACAUAGCAAUGGCUUAUUUACCUAUAUAAUUUCAGAAUACCUAUACUUAUCUUAGCCUUUUGACUAUUAGUUUUGGGUUGGGGUGACCACGGAGCAAAACCUAACCUCCAUGUUGGAUAGAUCUCCUCUUGAGCCAAAAGCCACAACUUUAAGCACCAAUAAACUGACAUAACUUGACCCAAUAUUUUGAGCAACGAACCAAGUUACCCUAGGGAUAACAGCGCAAUCCACUUCAAGAGCCCCUAUCGACAAGUGGGUUUACGACCCGAUGUUGGAUCAGGGUAUCCCAGCAUGCAGCCGCUACUAAAGGUUCGUUUGUUCAACGAUUAAAACCCUACGUGAUCUGAGUUCAGACCGGGCAACAAACUCA